CUCCUCAUGAAGUAAUCAGCUAAAGAAAUAAGACUGGACAGAUGAAAACCUGGGAAGGUAAUAGAAGCUAGGGGAAUGGAAGUUGGUGCCUGAAACAAUUAAGAGUUCAGAGAAAUGUUGUUCCAGGGAGUGUCUGACUAGUUCUGCAGCUUGGCAAAAAAGCCAGACGUUACCUCAUAGCUGUGGCCAGACAGCCCAUUUCUAUGCCAGGCAACCACUGCAGAAGCACACAGCACAGGGCCCUGCUUGAUUAGCACUUCUGCUGUUUCAAGAGUCCUGGAGUGUUUUGUUCAAGUGUGAAAGACCAAGAACCAGGGGGAACCAAGUGGCUAUUUAAUGAGUCUGGGAUGCUGAAUGCAGCUGCUCUUUCAGGAAGCUGCAUUUGCAAAGAGCACACAGCAACAUGCAGUACCCUAAAAGAUGUGUGUGAAGGAGUGAGCGAGAUUCAUUUCCCUAAAUCUUCUGGGCAACCCAAUGCCUAAGGGAAUCCCAGGGAGGGAGGACAGAGCCUGGGCCACACUCCAGUUUCUCCAUCCAGCCCUGCGCAGAGGCAUGAGGCGAACUGGAAGCUCCUCAGACACCCCGUCCCCAUCCCCUGCCCUUCACCAGCAUGGGCAGAAGGAUGUCCAAGUGCUCAGACAACGGUGGAGGAAGCGGCUCUGGCGUUUCCCUUCUGCUCCCUGGGGAGUCGGGGGAGCACACAAGCCAGGGCCAGAUUUAGCUCUUGGAUCCACAUGAAACAUCUCUGUGCCGACUGCUCCCUUCCUUCGUGCUCAGCCUCUUGUCACAGGAGUGGAAGCCGCACACACACACGGGGAACAGAAAAGCCGAGUCAAUAUGCAGCAGGCAGAGCCGGGAACACAAUGCGGGCAAAACAAAGAGCGGGGCUGUAUGUACUGCCUUCCCAGUGGCAUUCACUUCUCGUGCUUGGAGCCGGUUUCCUCUUUUCACGAGCCUCUUGACCUGCAGAUCCCUCUCCUCGGCAGACAGACCCCAAAGCCCCGCGGCUGGAUCCUUAUGCCUCUUCAGAUCAAACCAGCGAAACACUUUGAACACAGAGCCUGAACUGUGUGUUUGCAUCGAGGCUUUAAGCUCCUUGGCGCUGGCACCCGGGGUUCCUACUUGUUUUCUAACUCCCGAGGACAGCAAUGGUGCUCUCUAAGUCAAUACAAACAAACCAAGAGAGGCUCGAGGCAGCGCAGCAGAGCUUACCCCAGCGCCGUCCCCGGGACUCUGGCCCGUGGAAGGAGACUCCGGCACCGAUUUGGGCUGUCAGCUCAGGCCAGCACCCCCAAAAUCCCACACACAGAAAUCUGGCAGAACAAGGAACUUCCUCAAAAGAAGGGCAUCGGUUGCCCCGUCUGUGCCACCAAGACACCCAGCUUUGGAGGGAGGCACUGUGACAGCUGCCGUAAAACCCCAUCAGAUUUUCGAAGCCUGCUCUUAGUGAUGGAUUUUCAAGCCCCCUCUUUCUCCAGGCACUCUCAGGUUGCAGAGUGCGUGGGUGCAGGUGGAGGUGUUGGGGCCUCUCGAUUCAUUUCCACAGCUGGGCCUUUGGGUGCUGAUGUAGGCACAAGCGGUCCGCAAGCAGACGUCUGAAAAGGCACUGAGAAAGGGUGUACCCGCCGGGCACAAGGCGGGAGACCCCUCUGAGCCUGCGUUCAUCUUUCAGGCAACUCUAUCCCGUGGCAUCCGACCGUUCUGUAGGCUCAGUUAAGCAUUAGUACAGCAGGGCUGUGCACAUUGUGCGACGGCUUUGCGGAAGCGGAGUUGUGAAACGGAUGCCUUCUGUAGCCACCGUGACCUUAAAACCCACUGCUCAGUCACCCAGCAGAAAAAAAAAGGGAGAAUUCCUUCCGAACAGCCGAGUGCUGGUGCCCUUCGGGAGCUGGCUUUUCCUCUUUGGCUAGCCAGAGCUUCCGCCAGUCAGGACUGUCUCACCGCACUGUGUCAGCUGAGAUUCAGGAAUUUGUCUCAGCUACAUCUGAUACCUAAACCUGUAUUUUUCACAGCCUGACAGAGUUUUAAACUCCUCUCCAUCAGCUAUGGGCAGUAGCCUUCAGAGAUGAGCAGUGGCUGUAAUUGAUUCAUCAAGAGUCCUGCUAAUUUGUUUUUGCUCAAUUGUUGCAAUAUAUUUGAUUCCCGAUUAUUAUGCUCUGGAGUCAAGCUUCCUUUAGGUAAUUUACAGUAUAGCCUACAUAUGUGUAAAAAAUACAUCACCAUCGUGUUUUUAAUUAAAAUGCAUACGAUAAUACCAAAAGGAGAGAGGGGGAGGAAGGGAGGGAACCCAGAUUAAGUUUUUAAUUGUUUUAAUAGUGAGAUUUGUUUCAGCGAGAACAGGGCACACCGGUUUCCUUGGAAACAUUGGCGAUGUAUUAGCUGUAUAAAAUCUAGCAUAAAAGAUUUGCGAAAGUGAAGCCUUUAGGUUUUAA